rnacentral:rRNA from 1 species
GCAGCGUCCUGCCAGCACGGCUUGCCAAACAGCUAAAGCUAAGCAGGUCUGGAUUAAUUAAUACUUGGACGCGAGACCUCCAGCAAAAAAAUAAAUAAAACAAUGCU